AGUAAGAUAGCUGGGUCAAAUGGUGGUUCCAUUCCAAGUUUUCUGAGGAAUCUCCACAGUGCCUUCCAAAGUGGUUGCAUCAAUUUGUAGUCCCACAAGCAAU
rnacentral:pre_miRNA from 1 species